UACGUAGGGUGCAAGCGUUAAUCGGAAUUACUGGGCGUAAAGCGUGCGCAGGCGGUUGUGCAAGACAGAUGUGAAAUCCCCGGGCUUAACCUGGGAACUGCAUUUGUGACUGCACGGCUAGAGUGUGUCAGAGGGGGGUAGAAUUCCACGUGUAGCAGUGAAAUGCGUAGAUAUGUGGAGGAAUGACCGAUGGCGAAGGCAGCCCCCUGGGAUAACACUGACGCUCAUGCACGAAAGCGUGGGGAGCAAACAGG
rnacentral:rRNA from 1 species